rnacentral:ncRNA from 2 species
ACUUCACAUCGAGGCGACGGUGAGCAGGAACCCGGUGAAAGUCCGGGACGGUCCCGCCACUGUGACCGGGGUUGCCCCGGGAGUCAGACACUGACCCGUCGUCCUCCUGAACGG